AGUUUGUUGUAAAAAGGAUAUGGGGUGAGAGAGAUUCAAACUCUUGACCUCAGGAUCACUCAGAAGCUAUGAGACCUACGCGCUAGACAACUGCACCACCA